AGCAAGAGAUUUUAUUCCUUCACUCUUGAUCAUUAUGUACAAGGGUGUUAAAUAUAUAGCAGAGAUGGAGAGAGUGGAGCCGGUCCAGAUCCUACUUACAAGGACGGCUAAGACUAAGUGCUAUGACUAAGUAAAGGAGAACGUUAACAGUCCGAGCUAGUUUGGAAGGAGCUUCCUCAGGUAUUGUUGCCGAUUUGAUAAAGUAGCAGGUGAUUCCAACGAAAGACGAAGCAGCAGGACAUCUUGUUCCUCGAC
rnacentral:lncRNA from 1 species